rnacentral:rRNA from 1 species
GACGAACGCUGGCGGCGUGCUUAACACAUGCAAGUCGAACGGAAAGGCCCUGCUUUUGUGGGGUGCUCGAGUGGCGAACGGGUGAGUAACACGUGAGUAACCUGCCCUUGACUUUGGGAUAUCUUCAGGAAACUGGGGCUAAUACCGGAUAGGAGCUCCUGCUGCAUGGUGGGGGUUGGAAAGUUUCGGCGGUUGGGGAUGGACUCGGGGCUUAUCAGCUUGUUGGUGGGGUAGUGGCUUACCCAGGCUUUGACGGGUAGCCGGCCUGAGAGGGUGACCGGCCACAUUGGGACUGAGAUACGGCCCAGACUCCUACGUGAGGCAGCAGUGGGGAAUAUUGCACAAUGGGCGGAAGCCUGAUGCAGCAACGCCGCGUGCGGGAUGACGGCCUUCGGGUUGUAAACCGCUUUCGCCUGUGACGAAGCGUGAGUGACGGUAAUGGGUAAAGAAGCACCGGCUAACUACGUG